GUUAAGUGACUUUCUAAGUGAACUAUUGAAAGUUGAGUGACCAUCUGAGAUAUUAAAUCUUCAAAAUAGGUCACUCAAUUUGAAACGGAGGGAUAAGUCACUUUAAAAAAGCGAAACCCCCACCCCACACACAUAACACAUUUGUGGACAAGUUGUAAAUUAGAUAAGGCAGAAAUAUCGGGGAGAGAGGCCUAUAAAAUGAUGGCCCUUCAUGAACCAAAAUAUUGCAUUGCCAUAACACAUAAUUCUCCUAUACGUCUAUAUCUUUCUCCUUCUUCUUAGCAAUAAUAGUAUUGUUGUCAUGGCUCGCAAUUACGCUUUCUAUUUCACUAUUGCUAUUUUGGUGAUGUCUGUUUAUUUGGAUGAGUCUACGAAAGUGAAAAUAGAUGCUGCGAGAGACGUAACAGAUUUGAAAUCAAAAGUGAAUGGUUAUAACUUGUUGGGUGGUUGUGGUGGAUCCUGUCGACAGAGUAGUGAUUGUUAUGUUCGGACAUGUCCCCGUUGUCUCUACGAUGUUCUUGCACAUACCUACAGCUGCCACUAGUAAAGGAUCCAUCAUUCAUGGCCAACACAAUAUGAAUUAUUUUCUAUAAAUAAGUUUGUGUGCCUUUAAUUUGCUUGUGUGUUUUCCUUUUCUCAUUUAAGCUUUCUUUUUUUUUUUAUUGGAAAAAAUAGAACGACUAAGUUCUACUUCUACCUUAUAAUAAUAAUAGAGGAAGGAUAAUGUCGGAUGUAAUAUCUAUCAAGAUGAGUUGUGUUGGCCUACAAUAUUUGUACUUUUCGUUUGGAGUGGAACUCUAUAAUCAAUUUGCUUUAUGGAA